rnacentral:lncRNA from 1 species
AUGGAAAGUGGGGCUGAGGGCAGAUUGAACACAUCCAUCAAGCUCAGUAAGUGUUAUUUUCCUUCUCCUUUUUUCUUUCCCUAUAGCAUGGACAAGAGGGUAUCUUACCCAUGGAAGAAUAAGCACAUUGUAGAGCUGUUACUAGUCUCUGAAGGACUGUGCUUUACAUCUCCCCAUAACAGGCAAGGCCCAGAAGCUUUUUUCCAGAGUGACUUAGUUGCUCGGUUGGAAGCCCAGCAGCAAAAGGUUUUGUGGGAACAUCAGCCUGGUGGGAGAGAAGUAGGCGAGUGGAAGAAGUGGGGACACAGCCAAAUCUUGCAAAUCAUGGAGCCGCGUGAAGGGUCCCCAGGCAGCUUCCUGGGCUAUCGUCUCUUGCCCUCCAGAGAAGAGCCAGGUCCAAAAGGAGGAGAGCAGGCGCUUUCUGGGAAGCUGACCAUGCUCCAUCCCCACCCCAACUAGAGAAAGUGCAGACCAUGGCCCCCUCUCCACCUUAGAGCCCCCAGCCAGGACACGACCUGAUGUUGGAGCAAGACAGAACACUGAAUCAGAGAGGUAAUUCUGUUUUAAAACGAAAAAGACUGAGUUUUCAAAUAACUGAAAGUGUCCAGAAAUUGUGGAGUGUGUCCAGGGUGUCAACAUGGAAGGGAAAAGGGAGAUUUCACAGAACAGGAUGAGAAUGAAAGGAUUUCUUGUUUAUACCCCCUUGAGUUUAAACUUCUCAAGAAACACACACACAUUGACUUAAAUAAUGUAAAAAAUGUGCAUAAAUUCUUAAAAUUUUAUUUAUUUGUGUAUAUGUAUAUAUGCAUUCAUGUAUAUAUAGCAAUGUGUAUCUAUAUACUCGUGCAUGCACACAUUUUUCUGUAGCUUUUCAUCAUAAAAACUUAAAAAAUAUAGACCUGUAGAAAAGAAGAUGAAAAUCAUCCUGUCCUCCAAUAACUGUGUGGCAUUUUAUCAUAUAAAUGCAACAUUUUAAAACCCUUCCCCAUUGAGACACACAGUAGUGACAUCAUUGAAGGCAUUUGGCGCAUAUUAUCCGUCUUCUCUGAGGUCGUAUCCAUUGACAAUGCCUGUUGCCUUGACUGCGUUGAGUGUGAUAAUGGUAUUGAUAGCCUUAUAAAAACUCUUUUCAAUGUGGUAAGUGAAAAACAGAAGCUUAUAAUUUUUUAAAUUUUAUUUCUUUUGCUAUUAGAGAACAUACAUUUCUUAUUAGAAGUGUUCUGCCC